rnacentral:rRNA from 1 species
GUCGAACGCAUCCUUCGGGGUGAGUGGCAGACGGGUGAGUAACACGUGGGAACGUACCUUUCAGUUCGGAAUAACCCAGGGAAACUUGGGCUAAGACCGGAUACGCCCUUUUGGGGAAAGAUUUAUCGCUGAGAGAUCGGCCCGCGUCUGAUUAGCUAGUUGGUGAGGUAAAGGCUCACCAAGGCGACGAUCAGUAGCUGGUCUGAGAGGAUGAUCAGCCACAUUGGGACUGAGACACGGCCCAAACUCCUACGGGAGGCAGCAGUGGGGAAUAUUGGACAAUGGGCGCAAGCCUGAUCCAGCCAUGCCGCGUGAGUGAUGAAGGCCUUAGGGUUGUAAAGCUCUUUCGGCGGGGACGAUAAUGACGGUACCCGCAGAAGAAGCCCCGGCUAACUUCGUGCCAGCAGCCGCGGUAAUACGAAGGGGGCUAGCGUUGUUCGGAAU